rnacentral:rRNA from 2 species
UGGGCGUAAGCGCGCGCAGGCGGUUUCUUAAGUCUGAUGUGAAAGCCCACGGCUCAACCGUGGAGGGUCAUUGGAAACUGGGGAACUUGAGUGCAGAAGAGAAAAGCGGAAUUCCACGUGUAGCGGUGAAAUGCGUAGAGAUGUGGAGGAACACCAGUGGCGAAGGCGGCUUUUUGGUCUGUAACUGACGCUGAGGCGCGAAAGCGUGGGGAGCAAACAGGAUUAGAUACCCUGGUAGUCCACGCCGUAAACGAUGAGUGCUAAGUGUUAGAGGGUUUCCGCCCUUUAGUGCUGCAGCUAACGCAUUAAGCACUCCGCCUGGUGAGUACGGUCGCAAGACUGAAACUCAAAGGAAUUGACGG